rnacentral:tRNA from 1 species
GACGAGGUAGUCGAGUGGCGAAGGCGAUGGAUCGCUAAUCCAUUGUGCUUUGCACGCGUGGAUUCUAUUCCUACCUUCGUCG